rnacentral:rRNA from 1 species
GACGAACGCUGGCGGCGUGCCUAAUACAUGCAAGUAGAACGCAGUUGCGAACGGGUGAGUAACGCGUAGGUAACUGCCUCAUAGCGGGGGAUAACUAUUGGAAACGAUAGCUAAUACCGCAUACUGUGAGAUGGACCUGCGUUGUAUUAGCUAGUUGGUGAGGUAAAGGCUCACCAAGGCGACGAUACAUAGCCGACCUGAGAGGGUGAUCGGCCACACUGGGACUGAGACACGGCCCAGACUCCUACGGGAGGCAGCAGUGGGGAAUAUUGCACAAUGGGCGCAAGCCUGAUGCAGCCAUGCCGCGUGUAUGAAGAAGGCCUUCGGGUUGUAAAGUACUUUCAGCGAGGAGGCGUUACUCGCAGAAGAAGCACCGGCUAACUCCGUGCCAGCAGCCGCGGUAAUAC